rnacentral:rRNA from 1 species
CACGUAGGGUGCGAGCGUUGUCCGGAAUUAUUGGGCGUAAAGAGCUCGUAGGCGGUCUGUUGCGUCUGCCGUGAAAACCCGAGGCUUAACCUCGGGCCUGCGGUGGAUACGGGCAGACUAGAGGUAGGUAGGGGAGAACGGAAUUCCCGGUGUAGCGGUGAAAUGCGCAGAUAUCGGGAGGAACACCGGUGGCGAAGGCGACUUCCUGGCCUGUUCUUGACGCUGAGGCGCGAAAGCUAGGGGAGCAAACGGG